ensembl:lncRNA
GGAAAUGCAAGAUGUCACUUUUUUAUACAUAAAAGUAACUAGAUAUUCUGCACAUUGCAGCACUUUGUGGACCACUUUCCAGGACAUAUUUUCUCUCCCAGCUGUCAAAAUAUUUAAUGCUUUGAAUUAGCAUUUCAGUUAAGUGCUGUAUUUUGUUUCUGCAGUCAUACCUUGGUCACAUAAUAGCAGAUUUCUGUGAACUUCUGGGAUAAACCGUGGCUUUAUUCAGGGUACUCAAAGCCUAAAGUGCUGUGAUUUUCAAAAGUGCACUGAGGAGCUCAGGCUGUAAGUUCACCUUCCUGUGUUGGACAUGUGGACGGAAUUAUCACUUUCAAGCUCUAGCUGUGCCUUUUGGGAAGAGAAUGUGAACAGAUGAAAGGAAGGAAAAAUUCCUUUCCAGCUGGAAAGAAAGAGUGGGUGCAGACAUGGGGAUCAGCAGAGCUCAAAAUGAGAGCACUUAUGGGAAAGGGAAGAGCCUUCAUCAAGCUGCGGGUCACCUCUAGCUUGUGCAUUGUGGAAUAAAACUGUCCUGAGGCAAAGGAAGCAGGAGAAGAAAGCAAUGAUGCCCAGAUCAUAGCUAUCUGGGUACUUCAGGUAGCCAGCAGAAAGGAGUUCCAGCAUCAGUGCUCAAGACCAGUGAAUGGAAAGUAGCAGAAGUUGGAAAGAAAGCUACAGGGGGAUCGAUUUGCAGCCAGUGCUAGUUGGAAUAGCAAAAAGGAGAGAAAUCCCUGGAAGCAGCAGGAGAGUUGAGCCUGGCAGGACAGGAGGAGAAAGGACUUGAUAAGAAGAUGCAGCUUUUUCCUUUGCUUUCCUGAUGAGUUGAACUCAAAGCAGCAGCACACUUCUACUGCAGAAGGAAGCUGUCUGACUUUUUGUCUAGAGCCUGGCACCGUGACUGCUCUGUUGGCCCCAUAGUAGCUAGAGGAACCCAGAGGUCUCCUGGGCGGCAGAAGGACCAGCCACAAUGGGCACCAUCUCAUCACGUUCAACAAUCUCAUCCAUUCCUUAGCGACCACGCAAAUACCACAGUAACCCUAGGUGGUGUCAGCUGCUCCAUUUGACACAUCUCAGAGGGCUAACAACUUACUGUUCAAGAAGGUAACAACAUGCCCAGGUUGCAUGAAGAUCAAAUAAUUGUCAAUUCACUGACAGAACAUAAUUACUAGAGAAUUCUUUACUUAUAUUAGUGUGAGUUACAUCAGCCACAAGAUGCUUCUCUGUAUUUUCAAGAUGACAUAAAAGCCACCAAAGCACAUUGCAUUCAUUCUUUGUAUAUAAUCUUGAUAAACCCACAUUGCAGAUAAAAUUUUGAAACCUAUUCUUAUUAUAGAAUCAUAGAAUCACAAGGUUGGAAAGAACCUAUAAGAUCAUCUAGUCCAACUGUCCUCCCAUUACCCCUGCUACCCCAAGCCACUAAACCAUACCUCGUAGCUCCUCAUCCAGAUGCCUCUUCAACACUACCAGGGACGGCGACUCCACUACCUCCCUGGGCAGGCCAUUCCAGUGCCUGACCACUCUCUGAGAGAAAAAGUUUUUCCUUAUGUCUAACCUCAACCUCCUCUGGUACAACUUGUGGCCAUUUCCUUGGGUCCUGUUUGUUGCCUGGGAGAAGAGGUCAAACCCCUCCUCAUCACAACUCCCUUCAGGAAGUGGUAGAGUGCAAUGAGGUCUCCCCUGAGCCUCCUCUCCUCCAGACUGAACAAUGCCAGCUCCCUCAGCCGCUCCUCAUAAGACCUGUGCUCCAGACCCCUCACCAGUUUCAUUGCCCUUCUCUGGACAUAUUCCAGGGCCUCAAUGUCUUUCUUGUAGUGAGGGGCCCAAAACUGAACACAACACUCAAGGUGCAGCCUCACCAGUGCUGACUACAGGGGGAUGAUUACCUCCCUGCUUCUGCUGACCACACUAUUUCUAAUGCAGGCCACGAUGCCAUUGGCCCUCUUGGACACCUGGGCACACUGCUGGCUCAUGUUCAGCUGAGCAUCAACCAACACCCCCAGGUCCCUUUCCUCUUCACAGUCCUCCAGCCACUCAGCCCAAGGCUGUAGCGCUGCAUGGGGUUAUUGUGGCUAAAGUGCAGGACCCAGCACUUAUCUUUGUUGAACCUCAUCCCAUUCACCACAGCCCAGUGAUCCAGCUUAUCCAGAUCCCUCUGAUGGCCCUCCCGACCCUCAGGCCGAUCGACACCACCUCCCAGCUUGGUGUCAUCUGCAAACUUACUGAGGGUACACUCAAUCCCUUCAUCUAGGUCAUCA